GGAGAAAUACCCAAGAGGCCGAAGGGGCUCCCCUGCUAAGGGAGUAGUGUGCGAAUAGUGCAGCGAGAGUUCAAAUCUCUCUUUCUCCGCCA
rnacentral:tRNA from 1 species